GUACGGGGGGGCAAGCGUUGGUUCGGAAUUACUGGGCGUAAAGGGCUCGUAGGCGGCCAACUAAGUCAGACGUGAAAUCCCAGGCUCAACCUGGGAACUGCGUCUGAUACUGGUUGGCUUGAAUCCGGGAGAGGGAUGCAGAAUUCCAGGUGUAGCGGUGAAAUGCGUAGAUAUCUGGAGGAAUACCGGUGGCGAAGGCGGCAUCCUGGACCGGCAUUGACGCUGAGGAGCGAAAGCUAGGGGAG
rnacentral:rRNA from 1 species